GGUAUAUCUUUACUUCAAGUUUUUUUGGAUAGAUGCAGCCAAUAUAUAUAUAUAUAUAUAUAUUCAUAGAAUUUAAUUUCUGUACAGCCUUAUAUAUUUCUAUUUCCGUAUUUAGUUCACAGGAAUAAGGAUAAUUAUGCCUUGACUUUGCCGAAAUAUUAGUUUAAAUGCAGAAAUUGACAAAAUAACUCCGUAAAGAAAUAAAUGUUAGCUAUAUGUUUUGCAUAAAUAUCAUGUUUAUAAAUAUCGCAUACUGUUUAUAUAAAUAAUUAGGCAUAUGAAGACUGGUAUUUCCAAUUCGUAAGACUAGAGUGUUCUACCAAAAAUAAAAAGGUUUCUUUAAAGCAUAUGAAUAAAGGAAAAUUAUGAAAAGGCAACACUGCAAAAACUGUUUUUGUCAUUUUGAAAUCUUGUGAUUAAUAUUUGAAUAUGAGCCAAGAUUUUACACAAAAAGAUACUUUACUACAAAGUAUAUUUUGUAAAUAGGUUUAUGCGUGUAAAAUAUCUUUUUGGAUAAACUCGAGGCUCAUAUCUAUUUUUAUGAAAUAUAAUGUGACAAAUUACCUUUUUUGGUCAAAUAUGUCAAAUUCGACAUGUUUAGGACGUCUUAGUAACAUCACAAGUGACUUUUUUCUGCACUUAAGUGUCUAGCCUAUUACAUACAAUCUGUUGAUUUUUCAAUAAAGUUAACAUGAUCUUGAAAGUCCUUGCAAAUAAAGGCGCUUAUCAUACCUCUUUUGCAUAAAUAAGAUCAUGAUUUCACAAGUAUGUCUUCACACUAUAUAUGUUGUACAUUUAUCUAGCAAAAACUGCAUACAUAGCAACUAUAGUAUUACAAAAGGAUUUAUAUAGAACAGUUAUAAAAUAUGUAAAUGGUGUAUCCAAUAUAAGGUUGAUACAUGAAUAUAUGAUACAAAAAUUAUCAUAGAUAUCCGGCUUAACAUUUUGUACACCAGAUGCUCGUUUCGUCUACAAAAGACACAUCAGUGACGCUCGAAAUAAAACAAAAAGUUUAAAUUGGCUAGAUAAAGUUCGCAGUUGAUGAGCAUCGAGGACCAAAAUUCCAAAAGGUUUUGCCAAAUACAGCUAUGGUAAUCCUGGGGUAAACAAUACUUAGUAUUUCUAAAUAUUCAAAGAUUUGUGAACAGUUAAUUUAUAAUUAUAACCAUAUCACUGAUAAUUCAUGUCAACAUAGACACACAUUCGAAAUCAUGAUUAAACAUGAAAUACUACCACAACUAAGUGUUCUACGAAAUUUGUAAUAUGAUAAUGAAACAAAAAGAAACAAUCAUUAUUUUGGGGUAGGGAUAUAAGUUGUUAUUUUUUUGUUAAUUAAUUAUUGGCAAAAUUAUUCAUACUGUAUUUGAAUUCUGCAAUUUUGGAUUUUAUUGUUAUACUAGUUAUAGGUCACUGGUUCAUGCGUUUAAUAAGUAUAUUUCAGACAUUUGGAAUAAGGUAAUUUAGAGAAAUACCAUUUUAAGUGGAACAAAGUGUAGUUCAACAUCUUAGUAUACAAGUUUACACUGAUAUAUUUUUGAUUUAAUUUUAUACUUAUUCAACAAUAGUGUCAUUUGAUGCUUUAAACCUUGUUUAUAUAAAUGAUGGAAUUAUCCAACUAGUAUACAAGGAUACACAAACAUAUUUUUGGUUUAAUUAUAUACUUAUUCAACAAUAAUGUCAUUUGAUGCUUUAAACCUUGUUUAUAUAAAUGAUGGAAUUAUCCAAUUAAUAUACAAGUAUACACAGACUAUUUUGGUUAAAUUAUAUAAAAUUGUUCAUAAUGAUUGACUUGUUGCUAUGUAUUCAGAAGUUUUUGUUUAUUACAAUCAAAUUUCAAAUGCACAUUUUGAAUACCUUAAAAAUUAAGUUGUAUUCCAUUAUAAUGCACACUCUUACAUGUCUACUUCUAAAUUAUAGUAAAUUAAUGCACGAAUUUAGCGUUUGUUAGGGUUUUUUUUUUCUUUUAUCCGUUUUAUUUUAGUGUCUUCAGUUUUUUUGGCAAACUCAUUUCAGGCGCUAAUUCAACCAAAAUAUGACUAUUACCCUUUUUUUCUCUCUCACGAACAUCUACCACAAAUCUUCAGAGGGAACUAAAUGAAGAAUAAAUUGAUCUCGUCUGAAUACUAUAUCAACAGUUUACACAUUUUAUUCGACCUUAAAUAACCUGUACCAAUUGAGGAUAAUCUGUCUGGUAAUUAAGGGCAUACGAUACAGUUUUGAUCCCACGUUGAAUUUUUUACGAAUAUUUGCAUACAAGCUAUUUUUCACCUAGUCAAUUUAAUUAUGCAAUAAAACAAAUAUAACUUCAUGUGCUACUUUAAGAGAUAAAUGGGGUCGAAAGUUUCAGACAUUUACUAAAAAUUUCGGUUUCUUUGACAUUUCAAUCCAUACAGACAUACAUAACUUUUUUGUUAAAAAAAACAAACAAAAGAGGAUCUUUUUAAAAACAUCUGGGAUAUCUUCUUUACAUAAAUGUUCUAUAUAUUUGUGUAACAAUUAUUUGGAAAUAAUUCAUUUUUAUUGAAUUUUCAUGAUUUAAGCAUUUUUUGCUGUAUAAUUAUCUAAUUUAAAAAAAAUCCAUCGGUGAUUUGUUCAUAAAAUAAUCUUCAUACAUAAUAUGGCUAAAUGUGUGGUAUUUUUUAAAGGGGUCCAUGUACUUGUUUUCAAAAUUCAGUCGAAAAAUGCAUCAUUUUAGAAUAUGUCACAGUUUGGCGUCGCAAAAAAUAACAUUUACCUUAGCAACGUCAUUACCUCCCCUGUAACUGUAUCGUAUGCCCUUAAGGUAGAUGGCGGGUCUACAUAAUCCAUAGAUUUUUUUAAUAAUUUGCCAAAAUGUAGUUUAUAUCAUGCUCUUUUUCACAACAAUAUAAUAAAAUAUUUAGGUCACUGGACUUGUUUUCUAAAUACAAAACAAAACAGGUAAAUUCAUUACACAUUCCUUAAGAAAAGUAACAUUAGCUGAAUUAUCUCCACUUGUAUGGCAAAGUUGAAAAAAAUUGUAACAAACAAAAUUAUUCUUUUUUUGAAAAAAAACAACCGAAAAAUAUGAUAAAACACAUAAUUUCCUUCAUUAAGAUGAAAUGUCUUUCAAAUGAAUAACUUUCAUCUCUCAAAAAUUCGCACAUUUCUUUAAAGAUCUAGACCGAUUGUUUUCAGUUAUUUUACAAUCCAAAUUGACAGAAGACACCAGAUCUACCUUAAGGAGUGUAUUAUGCUAUUAUAGGGACGUAAAUACAAAGUAAAAUACAUGCGGUAUUAUCAAUAUUGAAAUGAUCCUAAAUGUCCCCUAAGAAAUUAUCUCAGCUAAUUUUGAAAAUAUUUAUUAGGCAUAGUCUACAAGGACUACAGAUGCCUGCGAAACAGUGGUAGACAGGAAAUAUGAAGUCACCUUUUCUAUUAACUGAAGCUUAACUAAUGAAUAUAAAUUGUUAGUUGGUAGCACUUCAGGGGGCGAGAAAAAAUGUCAUUUCCAAAAACUGACCAGAGAUAAAACAUUAAUAAAAUGUUUCUCGGAAUUCUGUGUCUCGCCUGAGAUUGCUGCUGUCAGUGUUAAAGUGUACUGUUGACUGUAAAAAGUGAGUCCAUUUAUUCCUAAACACAGAAUUUAAAAAAAACCAUCUAUUUAGAUGCUUAUUGAUCUUGAAGAUUAGCUUCGGUCCAAGAAGUAAAAUACUAAAUAUGAAAUCAAUAUAUUUUCAAAGUUUGUUACUGUGAAAAAACUAAGUCCAUUUAUCAUUAAGAAAGGGAAAAAAUAAAAUACAUCUUUUAUAAAUUUUGCUUCAGAUAUUAUCUCUUAAUCAUAAACGAGCUUCUACCAAAGUUUCUUUAAAUUCUAUGAUGGUUUGACAAAGAAAUUGAUUUGAAACCAACUCUACCCUAGACUGUAUCUACUUGUUUACUGCAAAAGAAAAAAACUUAGACCAUUUUUAAGAAAAUGAAAUUAAAUAUUUUUAAAUAUUUGCUCUCGAUAAUGUCUUUUGGUCAUAAAAAAGUUUAAGUCUAAAUUUCAUUCAAUUCCAUGAAGGUUUGACAAAGUUAUUGAUGUUUAAAAAAAGACUUUAACCACAGACUGAACCUAAAUGUUGACGCCGACGACGCCGACGACGGAAUCUAUACUUGCUAUGUCUCUUUUUGCGAAAUAAAUGUCGCAGGCUCCACAAAAAUUUAAUGAAUGGCUUUUACGCAGAUUAAUAGCUAUGAUAUGAGCUGAGUAAUUUCCCAAGAAGAAGGAUAUGAAAUUUAGGACAUUAUCUUUAUAAAAGGGGGGAAGAUAUGGAAGCUUUUAUGACACAUGUAGUGAAAAAAAACAUAUAAUAUUAAAUCAUUAAAAAAGUAUAACAAACAUAUUGAACCCCAGGCGAAAUUCAAAAAGGGGAAGUCCAUUAAAACUGACAAAUCAAACUCUAUCAAUCGAACAGAACAAGUGAAAACCAACUGCUAUAUUCCUGACUAGAUACAACCAUUUUCCGAAGAAAACUGUGGGUUAAACGUGGUUUUAUAUCGAACUAAACCUCCAACUUGUAUGACAAUUUUUUGUAAUUCCGUUAUAUUGACAAAAUUGUGUAAACAACCAAAACAGAUGUAAAAUCAUAAUUCAAAUUCGAGCUGUUUAACAAUUUAAAAGUGAGGAAACAACGCUGACUGAAAAGACAACGUCAAUUCAACGAGGGUUCAUCAAAAGUAAAUCUUUAUGCACAAUAAAAUUAAACUGAAGGAACUUAGAUAAAAAAAAAUCAAAAAAAUUGUUCUUCAGCUAAUCAAUAUAUGAUACAAACUAGUAACUUUUGAUAAAAAAGAUAAGUCCGCAUGUAUUUAAAAAUAAAAUGCUCCGCAGGACGCAGCUUGAUACGACCGCAGAGGUCGAACCCUGAACAGUUGGGGGAAGUAUGGACACAACAUUCAAGCUUGAUACAGCUUUGGAUUUGGAUUGUGAUUAAAUAUUUGACACAGCAUAGGUUUCUAACACAGAUUGAAUGUGGUCUAAGAACUUAAAAAUUUUAAAUUGGACAUUCACCUAUUAUGGUCCAAUAUCCAAAAUCUAAAUACAUGGUUAGAUUCAGCAUAUCAAAGAACCCCAAGAAUUCAAUUUUUGAUGAAAUCAAACAAAGUUUAAUUUUGGACCCUUUUGACCACAAUGUGGACAAAGUUGAUAACGGGGCCCAAUAAUCAAAAAUCUAAAUACAUGGUUAGAUUCAGCAUAUCAAAGAACCCCAUAUAUUCAAUUUUUGUUGAAAUCAAACAAAGUUUAAUUUUGGACCCCGAUUUGGACCAACUUGAAAACUGGGCCCAUAAUCAAAAAUCUAAAUACAUGUUUAGAUUCAGCAUAUCAAAGAACCCUAAGAAUUCAAUUUUUGUUAAAAUCAAACUAAGUUUAAUUUUGGACCCUUUGGACCCUAAUGUAGACCAAUUUGAAAACGGAACCAAAAAUUAAGAAUCUAAAUACACGGUUAGAUUCGGCAUAUCAAAGAACCCCAAUUAUUCAAUUUUUGAUGAAAUCAAACAAAGUUUAAUUUUGGACCCUUUUGACCUCAAUGUGGACAAAGUUGAUAACGGGGCCCAAAAAUCAAAAAUCUAAAUACAUGGUUAGAUUCAGCAUAUCAAAGAACCCCAUAUAUUCAAUUUUUGUUGAAAUCAAACAAAGUUUAAUUUUGGACCCCGAUUUGGACCAAUUUGAAAACUGGGCCCAUAAUCAAAAAUCUAAAUACAUGUUUAGAUUCAGCAUAUCAAAGAACCCUAAGAAUUCAAUUUUUGUUAAAAUCAAACUAAGUUUAAUUUUGGACCCUUUGGACCUUAAUGUAGACCAAUUUGAAAACGGAACCAAAAAUUAAGAAUCUAAAUAAACGGUUAGAUUCGGCAUAUCAAAGAACCCCAAUAAUUCAAUUUUUGAUGAAAUCAAACAAAGUUUAAUUUUGGACCCUUUUGACCUCAAUGUGGACAAAGUUGAUAACGGGGCCCAAAAAUCAAAAAUCUAAAUACAUGGUUAGAUUCAGCAUAUCAAAGAACCCCAUAUAUUCAAUUUUUGUUGAAAUCAAACAAAGUUUAAUUUUGGACCCCGAUUUGGACCAACUUGAAAACUGGGCCCAUAAUCAAAAAUCUAAAUACAUGUUUAGAUUCAGCAUAUCAAAGAACCCUAAGAAUUCAAUUUUUGUUAAAAUCAAACUAAGUUUAAUUUUGGACCCUUUGGACCCUAAUGUAGACCAAUUUGAAAACGGAACCAAAAAUUAAGAAUCUAAAUACACGGUUAGAUUCGGCAUAUCAAAGAACCCCAAUUAUUCAAUUUUUGAUGAAAUCAAACAAAGUUUAAUUUUGGACCCUUUUGACCUCAAUGUGGACAAAGUUGAUAACGGGGCCCAAAAAUCAAAAAUCUAAAUACAUGGUUAGAUUCAGCAUAUCAAAGAACCCCAUAUAUUCAAUUUUUGUUGAAAUCAAACAAAGUUUAAUUUUGGACCCCGAUUUGGACCAACUUGAAAACUGGGCCCAUAAUCAAAAAUCUAAAUACAUGUUUAGAUUCAGCAUAUCAAAGAACCCUAAGAAUUCAAUUUUUGUUAAAAUCAAACUAAGUUUAAUUUUGGACCCUUUGGACCUUAAUGUAGACCAAUUUGAAAACGGAACCAAAAAUUAAGAAUCUAAAUAAACGGUUAGAUUCGGCAUAUCAAAGAACCCCAAUAAUUCAAUUUUUGAUGAAAUCAAACAAAGUUUAAUUUUGGACCCUUUUGACCUCAAUGUGGACAAAGUUGAUAACGGGGCCCAAAAAUCAAAAAUCUAAAUACAUGGUUAGAUUCAGCAUAUCAAAGAACCCCAUAUAUUCAAUUUUUGUUGAAAUCAAACAAAGUUUAAUUUUGGACCCCGAUUUGGACCAACUUGAAAACUGGGCCCAUAAUCAAAAAUCUAAAUACAUGUUUAGAUUCAGCAUAUCAAAGAACCCUAAGAAUUCAAUUUUUGUUAAAAUCAAACUAAGUUUAAUUUUGGACCCUUUGGACCUUAAUGUAGACCAAUUUGAAAACGGAACCAAAAAUUAAGAAUCUAAAUACACGGUUAGAUUCGGCAUAUCAAAGAACCCCAAUAAUUCAAUUUUUGAUGAAAUCAAACAAAGUUUAAUUUUGGACCCUUUUGACCUCAAUGUGGACAAAGUUGAUAACGGGGCCCAAAAAUCAAAAAUCUAAAUACAUGGUUUGAUUCAGCAUAUCAAAGAACCCCAUAUAUUCAAUUUUUGUUGAAAUCAAACAAAGUUUAAUUUUGGACCCCGAUUUGGACCAACUUGAAAACUGGGCCCAUAAUCAAAAAUCUAAAUACAUGUUUAGAUUCAGCAUAUCAAAGAACCCUAAGAAUUCAAUUUUUGUUAAAAUCAAACUAAGUUUAAUUUUGGACCCUUUGGACCUUAAUGUAGACCAAUUUGAAAACGGAACCAAAAUUUAAGAAUCUAAAUACACAGUUAGAUUCGGCAUAUCAAAGAACCCCAAUAAUUCAAUUUUUGAUGAAAUCAAACAAAGUUUAAUUUUGGACCCUUUGGACCUCAAUGUGGACCAAUUUAAAAACGGGGCCCAAAAUCCAAAAACUAAAUACACGGUUAGAUUCAGCAUAUUAAAGAACCCCAUGAAAUCAAGAAUAAAACCCCAUUGAAAUUGGUCAAGAAAUAAGCAAUUUAUAGGAAGUAUCUUCUUUUGCACAAUCCUGUGCUAUUAAAUAUUUCUUGCUAUUGCGCAAUACUGUACAAUUGACAAUUUCUUGCUAUUGCGCAAUAUUGUGCUAUUGGAUAUUUCUUGCUAUUGCGCGCAAUAUUGUGCAAUUGAAGAUUUCUUGCUAUUGCGCAAUACUGUGCAAUUGAAGAUUUCUUGCUAUUGUGCAAUACUGUGCAAUUGAAAAUUUCUUGCUAUUGCACAAUACUUAUUAUAUAAUAAUUUACACAUCCUGUUUGGUGUGUAUCUCCUACCAUAUCAUUAUUAUUUGAUUUUAAAUAUAAAUCAGAAAUAACCAACUUAAAAUGGAAAAUUUUAAAAGAAACAAAAAAGGAAAAAAAGAAAAAAAAGGAAAAAAAAAUAAA